UACGUAGGGUGCAGGCGUUAAUCGGAAUUACUGGGCGUAAAGCGUGCGCAGGCGGUUUGCUAAGACAGGUGUGAAAUCCCCGGGCUCAACCCGGGAACUGCGUCCGAUACUGGCAGGCUUGAAUCCGGGAGAGGGAUGCGGAAUUCCAGGUGUAGCGGUGAAAUGCGUAGAUAUCUGGAGGAACACCGGUGGCGAAGGCGGCAUCCUGGACCGGCAUUGACGCUGAGGCGCGAAAGCCAGGGGAGCAAACGGG
rnacentral:rRNA from 1 species